rnacentral:lncRNA from 1 species
ACCCUUAUGUUCACAUUAUAGGCCUCUGUUGCUAACGCAGUGUUCAAGUUCACUUUUUCUAUAUCUCUCUUAUGCUCCUUAAGUCUUUGACGCAAAGUCCUUGUCGUCAACCUACAUAUACUGCUGUUUGAUGGGUAUCUUGAUGCCCAUCUAAUCUGCCAUGAGUCCUUCUUUAAGUUUAACGGACAAUUUUAUCAGCAACUUACAGCAUCUCAAUAGAAAGUCCGAUGGCAGGGCCAUUAGUGGAGAUUGUGUUAAGGACUAUAGAAUCACAAAUACUAGCCAGCUUCCAACCAGAUAUCAUGGUAUAUAUCAGAUAUGUAGAUGACAUACUAACAGUUUGGCAGGAUGAAAAAAGAGUAGGAGAAUUUACUGCAGCCUUCUCGUUACCAGCUUACGGGCUAAUUCUUAAAAAAAGACCACUAAAGCAAAUGCAGUAUACAUUACCUGGAUAUUACACUAAUGAUAGAUAACUAAACAUUGAAGACUGCUGUUUACAGGAAGUCCAUCCAUCAGCCAGUUCUAAUACCCAGCUGGUCUUUUCUUUUCUUUCUUUUG